GUAGGGAAUAUUGCGCAAUGGACGAAAGUCUGACGCAGCGACGCCGCGUGAGUGAUGAAGGCCUUAGGGUCGUAAAGCUCUGUUGAAUGGGAAGAAAAAAAUGACGGUACCAUUCGAGGAAGGACCGGCUAACUUCGUGCCAGCAGCCGCGGUAAUACGAGGGGUCCUAGCGUUGUUCGGAAUCAUUGGGCGUAAAGGGUGUGUAGGUGGCCAUGUAAGUCAGGUGUGAAAGCCCCGGGCUCAACCCGGGAAGUGCACUUGAUACUGCGUGGCUUGAGUACCGAAGAGGGUAGUGGAAUUCCAGGUGUAGUGGUGAAAUACGUAGAUAUCUGGAGGAACACCGGUGGCGAAGGCGGCUCACUGGCCCGUUACUGACGCUGAGGCGCGAAAGCGUGGGGAGCAAACAGGAUUAGAAACCCGUGUAGUCC
rnacentral:rRNA from 1 species